AUUGAACGCUGGCGGCAUGCCUUACACAUGCAAGUCGAACGGCAGCACGGAGCUUGCUCUGGUGGCGAGUGGCGAACGGGUGAGUAAUAUAUCGGAACGUACCCUAGAGUGGGGGAUAACGUAGCGAAAGUUACGCUAAUACCGCAUACGAUCUAAGGAUGAAAGUGGGGGAUCGCAAGACCUCAUGCUCGUGGAGCGGCCGAUAUCUGAUUAGCUAGUUGGUAGGGUAAAAGCCUACCAAGGCAUCGAUCAGUAGCUGGUCUGAGAGGACGACCAGCCACACUGGAACUGAGACACGGUCCAGACUCCUACGGGAGGCAGCAGUGGGGAAUUUUGGACAAUGGGCGAAAGCCUGAUCCAGCAAUGCCGCGUGAGUGAAGAAGGCCUUCGGGUUGUAAAGCUCUUUUGUCAGGGAAGAAACGGUGAAAGCUGAUAUCUUUUGCUAAUGACGGUACCUGAAGAAUAAGCACCGGCUAACUACGUGCCAGCAGCCGCGGUAAUACGUAGGGUGCAAGCGUUAAUCGGAAUUACUGGGCGUAAAGCGUGCGCAGGCGGUUUUGUAAGUCUGAUGUGAAAUCCCCGGGCUCAACCUGGGAAUUGCAUUGGAGACUGCAAGGCUAGAAUCUGGCAGAGGGGGGUAGAAUUCCACGUGUAGCAGUGAAAUGCGUAGAUAUGUGGAGGAACACCGAUGGCGAAGGCAGCCCCCUGGGUCAAGAUUGACGCUCAUGCACGAAAGCGUGGGGAGCAAACAGGAUUAGAUACCGUGGUAGUCCACGCCCUAAACGAUGUCUACUAGUUGUCGGGUCUUAAUUGACUUGGUAACGCAGCUAACGCGUGAAGUAGACCGCCUGGGAGUACGGUCGCAAGAUUAAAACUCAAAGGAAUUGACGGGGACCCGCACAAGCGGUGGAUGAUGUGGAUUAAUUCGAUGCAACGCGAAAAACCUUACCUACCCUUGACAUGGCUGGAAUCCUUGAGAGAUCAGGGAGUGCUCGAAAGAGAACCAGUACACAGGUGCUGCAUGGCUGUCGUCAGCUCGUGUCGUGAGAUGUUGGGUUAAGUCCCGCAACGAGCGCAACCCUUGUCAUUAGUUGCUACGAAAGGGCACUCUAAUGAGACUGCCGGUGACAAACCGGAGGAAGGUGGGGAUGACGUCAAGUCCUCAUGGCCCUUAUGGGUAGGGCUUCACACGUCAUACAAUGGUACAUACAGAGCGCCGCCAACCCGCGAGGGGGAGCUAAUCGCAGAAAGUGUAUCGUAGUCCGGAUUGUAGUCUGCAACUCGACUGCAUGAAGUUGGAAUCGCUAGUAAUCGCGGAUCAGCAUGUCGCGGUGAAUACGUUCCCGGGUCU
rnacentral:rRNA from 1 species